GCCCUAAACAAAUGGGCUAAUGACAUUACAUUGAGUUUGUUGGCACACUUGCCCUACAAUGGGGUUUGUGUUAUUUUAAGAUAAUCAAAUAUAUAUCAGUGUUAUAUUUUCAUCUAUAAAAGUUCAGGGUUUUAUAGAAUUGGGCACUUAUUGGCUCAAAAAUUAGAGAAAUAUAACUUUCUAAUGGGCUUAUAGAAAUGGGUACUUGUUGGAGUUGAAAAUGAUAAUUUUGCCCCUUUCUCCAGUUUAUGGUGUUCUCUUCUUCAUCAUCGUCUUCUUCUUCGUCACGACAACUUUUCCGAGUUUUCACCAGCGCACUUACUUCAUUUACGCCCUACUCACCUAUUCUAUCAUCACAAUAUCCGUCAACACCUGUUUCCUCU